rnacentral:rRNA from 1 species
AGAGUUUGAUCCUGGCUCAGAUCGAACGCUGGCGGCAGGCCUAACACAUGCAAGUCGAGCGGUAGAGAGAAGCUUGCUUCUCUUGAGAGCGGCGGACGGGUGAGUAAUGCCUAGGAAUCUGCCUGGUAGUGGGGGAUAACGUUCGGAAACGGACGCUAAUACCGCAUACGUCCUACGGGAGAAAGCAGGGGACCUUCGGGCCUUGCGCUAUCAGAUGAGCCUAGGUCGGAUUAGCUAGUUGGUGGGGUAAUGGCUCACCAAGGCGACGAUCCGUAACUGGUCUGAGAGGAUGAUCAGUCACACUGGAACUGAGACACGGUCCAGACUCCUACGGGAGGCAGCAGUGGGGARUAUUGGACAAUGGGCGAAAGCCUGAUCCAGCCAUGCCGCGUGUGUGAAGAAGGCCUUCGGGUUGUAAAGCACUUUUGGCAGGAAAGAAACGUCAUGGGUUAAUACCCCGUGAAACUGACGGUACCUGCAGAAUAAGCACCGGCUAACUACGUGCCAGCAGCCGCGGUAAUACGUAGGGUGCAAGCGUUAAUCGGAAUUACUGGGCGUAAAGCGUGCGCAGGCGGUUCGGAAAGAAAGAUGUGAAAUCCCAGAGCUUAACUUUGGAACUGCAUUUUUAACUACCGAGCUAGAGUGUGUCAGAGGGAGGUGGAAUUCCGCGUGUAGCAGUGAAAUGCGUAGAUAUGCGGAGGAACACCGAUGGCGAAGGCAGCCUCCUGGGAUAACACUGACGCUCAUGCACGAAAGCGUGGGGAGCAAACAGGAUUAGAUACCCUGGUAGUCCACGCCCUAAACGAUGUCAACCAGCUGUUGGGGCCUUCGGGCCUUGGUAGCGCAGCUAACGCGUGAAGUUGACCGCCUGGGGAGUACGGUCGCAAGAUUAAAACUCAAAGGAAUUGACGGGGACCCGCACAAGCGGUGGAUGAUGUGGAUUAAUUCGAUGCAACGCGAAAAACCUUACCUACCCUUGACAUGUCUGGAAUUCCGAAGAGAUUUGGAAGUGCUCGCAAGAGAACCGGAACACAGGUGCUGCAUGGCUGUCGUCAGCUCGUGUCGUGAGAUGUUGGGUUAAGUCCCGCAACGAGCGCAACCCUUGUCAUUAGUUGCUACGAAAGGGCACUCUAAUGAGACUGCCGGUGACAAACCGGAGGAAGGUGGGGAUGACGUCAAGUCCUCAUGGCCCUUAUGGGUAGGGCUUCACACGUCAUACAAUGGUCGGGACAGAGGGUCGCCAACCCGCGAGGGGGAGCCAAUCCCAGAAACCCGAUCGUAGUCCGGAUCGCAGUCUGCAACUCGACUGCGUGAAGUCGGAAUCGCUAGUAAUCGCGGAUCAGCAUGUCGCGGUGAAUACGUUCCCGGGUCUUGUACACACCGCCCGUCACACCAUGGGAGUGGGUUUUACCAGAAGUAGUUAGCCUAACCGUAAGGGGGGCGAUUACCACGGUAGGAUUCAUGACUGGGGUGAAGUCGUAACAAGGUAGCCGUAA